GGGCCCGCACAAGCAGUGGAGUAUGUGGUUUAAUUCGAAGCAACGCGAAGAACCUUACCAGGGCUUGACAUAUAUGGGAAUAUUUAAGAGAUUAAAUAGUCUUUCGGGACCCAUAUACAGGUGGUGCAUGGUUGUCGUCAGCUCGUGUCGUGAGAUGUUGGGUUAAGUCCCGCAACGAGCGCAACCCCUGUUUCUAGUUACUAACAAGUUAAGUUGAGGACUCUAGAAAGACUGCCGGUGAUAAAUCGGAGGAAGGUGGGGACGGACGUCAAAUCAUCAUGCCCUUUAUGUCCUGGGCUACACACGUACUACAAUGGUAAUAACAGAGGGAAGCAAAGUAGUGAUACUAAGCAAAACCCAAAAAGUUACCACAGUUCGGAUUGAAGGCUGAAAUUCGCCUUCAUGAAGCCGGAAUUGCUAGUAAUGGCAGGUCAGCAUACUG
rnacentral:rRNA from 1 species